UCCGCAUCCAAUCGUUCAUGCACUUGUCUCCCCCUCCACAUCGCGUGAGUACUUUUCCCUAUGCCCGGUGAACUCUCUCACCCUCGCCACUCGGCCAUUGGUGCGCGCGGGCGUCGAGGAAUCACCACGCAAGCGACAGGAGUCGGGACUGGCGUCGGACGACAAGGAUUCGAAUUGACGACGACAACGAUCGUGUUUGGUGCGUCAUGCGGUUGAGUUGUUGGCUAGGUGUCCCUCCCCCAUCGCCACCGGAUCGAGCGGCGGUGGUCCAGGGAAGCGCGGAUCCGGCGGAGUCCAUCGGCUCGCGCGACUCUGCAACGCUAGAUCCUCGACGCCGUCGACGUCCAUGAGCUGCGUCGACGACCGGCGAGGUGGAGCGUAGAAGAAGCAUUCAUCGAUCCACACGACAUCGUCGUAGAUCUCCUUCCUCCAACAAUCACGGCCAAGCGAAACACCUUCGUCUCGGAUGGUUAAUCCCAUGCAAUUUACACAACUCAUGCAAAUGGGAGUAGAACCUGUCAGGGAUGCAAACCUUGGAGACCCACCAGUUUUCCCAUAGUCACAAGCAGAACAACCAAGUGGAAAUCAACCUUCAAGGUGUAACCAGAGGGGGAAGCAAUACCACUUCAGUAUUGAGGAGUACAAAAUCUUGGUUUCUUGCUGGCUUAAUGUCAGCCUUGAUCCUAUAUUUGGUGCUGGACAAUGGAAGGCGUCAUUUUGGAGGACUAUAGAAUAAAACUACAACUCUCAGAAAUCAACAGGACAUCCAGUCCGCACACUUAGGAGUUUGGAAUGGAGGUAACUACAGCUAUAAACCUUUACAAUAGCAUCGAAUGCAAGCCUAUAAUCACCACCCAUUGCUGGGAGAUUCUUAGAAAUGAGGCAAAAUGGUUGGAUUUGUAGAGGAAGGCUACUCAGGUCAUGGAAGAGUUGGUAAAGAGAAAGUAGUAUAUGUUCCAGACUCCAUAAAUGGCGAUGACGAAACUGAUGACACUAGUCGAGGAACUUAGAGGCCCAUGGGAAUGGACGCUGCAAAGGCUACAAAAAGAAACGUUUCCAAUGAAACCUUCAUCCAAUCUAGCUCAGAGUACACGAGUUUGAUGUU
rnacentral:lncRNA from 1 species